GACGAACGCUGGCGGCGUGCCUAACACAUGCAAGUCGAACGGGGUUGUUCCUUCGGGGACAACUUAGUGGCGAACGGGUGAGUAACGCGUGAGGAACCUGCCUUUCAGUGGGGGACAACAGUUGGAAACGACUGCUAAUACCGCAUAACGUGACGGAAUCGCAUGAUUCUGUUACCAAAGCUGAGGCGCUGAAAGAUGGACUCGCGUCUGAUUAGAUAGUUGGUGAGGUAACGGCUCACCAAGUCGACGAUCAGUAGCCGGACUGAGAGGUUGAACGGCCACAUUGGGACUGAGACACGGCCCAGACUCCUACGGGAGGCAGCAGUGGGGGAUAUUGGGCAAUGGGCGAAAGCCUGACCCAGCGACGCCGCGUGCGGGAAGAAGGCCUCGGUUGUAAACCGCUGUAGACAGGGACGAAACAAAUAGACGGUACCUGUAAAGUAAGACCGACGGCGUAACUACGUG
rnacentral:rRNA from 1 species